UACGAGGGGGCGAGCGUUGUUCGGAAUUACUGGGCGUAAAGGGCGCGUAGGCGGACAUUUAAGUUAGAGGUGAAAGCCCAGGGCUCAACCCUGGAAUAGCCUUUAAUACUGGAUGUCUUGAGUUCGGGAGAGGUGAGUGGAACUCCGAGUGUAGAGGUGAAAUUCGUAGAUAUUCGGAAGAACACCAGUGGCGAAGGCGACUCACUGGCCCGAUACUGACGCUGAGGCGCGAAAGCGUGGGGAGCAAACAGG
rnacentral:rRNA from 1 species